rnacentral:rRNA from 1 species
AGCAGCCGCGGUAAUUCCAGCCCCAAUAGCGUAUAUUAAAGUUGUUGCAGUUAAAAAGCUCGUAGUUGAAUUUCGGGGUUCUACCGUUGGUCGGGCUUUGUCUGUACUGAUGUGUAGAAUUUCUACCUUCUGGGGAACCAUCAUGUUAUUAAUUUAGCGUGGUGGGAAACCAGGACCUUUACCUUGAAAAAUUAGAGUGUUCAAAGCAGGCUUAUGUCUGAAUACAUUAGCAUGGAAUAAUAGAAUAGGACGGUGGUCCUGUUUUGUUGGUUUCUGAAUCACCGUAAUGAUUAAUAGGGAUAGUUGGGGGCAUUAGUAUUCAAUUGUCAGAGGUGAAAUUCUUGGAUUUAUUGAAGACUAACUUCUGCGAAAGCAUUUGCCAAGGAUGUUUUCAUUAAUCAAGAACGAAAGUUAGGGGAUCGAAGACGAUCAGAUACCAUCGUAGUCUUAACCAUAAACUAUGCCGACUAGGGAUCGGACGACGUUAAUUUUCUUGACUCGUUCGGCGCCUUACGGGAAC